rnacentral:rRNA from 1 species
UACGUAGGUGGCAAGCGUUGUCCGGAAUUAUUGGGAGUAAAGUGUGCGUAGGCGGUAAUUUAAGUAUGAUGUGAAAGCCCACGGCUCAACCGUGGAGGGUCAUUGGAAACUGGGGGACUUGAGUGCAGGAGAGAAGAGUGGAAUUCCACGUGUAGCGGUGAAAUGCGUAGAGAUGUGGAGGAACACCAGUGGCGAAGGCGACUCUUUGGCCUGUAACUGACGCUGAGGCGCGAAAGCGUGGGGAGCGAACAGG